UCUUGUGUACAAUUUGGAAAUUAGUAUGGCGUUCAUUAUCACUGAACUAGUAUAUAUUUGUUUAGGGGCCAGCUGAAGGACGACUCCGGGUGCGGGAAUUUCUCACUACAUUGAAGACCUGUUGGUGACCUUCUGCUGUUGUUUUUUUCUAUGGUCGGGUUGUUGUCUCUUUGGCACAUUCCCCAUUUCCAUUCUCAAUUUUAUUAUA
rnacentral:lncRNA from 1 species